ACACCUGGCACCCCCCUGGUGGCCUGCCUUUGUCACCCCAAAAUUCCAAAUUCCUCCCUCCCCGCUCGCCCGCUGCCAAGGAAGAGGCUAAAAUCGGAUUUUUUGGGUUUUUUUUAAGUAGAAAACGGGAAUAAAAUCGAGUUGUGCGCGUAGGGAAAUGGAGAGGGGUUGGUUGGUUUCUGUGUGCUGCACGUUGGAGGGGUUUUGUGGUGUGGAGGUGAUCCUAAAUUCAAAUUGGUUUAAUUAUUUUAAUUGGUUCCAUUGGUUUCCUGCAGAAGUCAGGAAAUAUUCUGGGGGGAAAACGAAGGAUUCUGCAGUUUUGUGGUGUGGAGGUGGUCCUAAAUUCAAAUUGUUUUAUUUUAAUUGGUUUCAUUGGUUUAAUUCCUUCCCUCAGAUCCUGCAGAAAUGAUAAAAUUUCUGGAUUUGGGAUGAUUUUGAAGGGGGGAAACGAAGGAUUCCACAGUUUUGUGGUAUUGAGGUGGUCCUAAAUUCAAAUUGUUUUAUUUUAAUUUGUUUCAUUGGUUUAAUUCCUUCCCUCAGAUCCUGCAGAAAUGAUAGAAUGUCUGGAUUUGGGCUGAUUUUGGGGGGGGGAAACGAAGGAUUCCACAGUUCUGUGGUAUUUAGGUGGUCCUAAAUUCAAAUUAUUUUCACUGGUUCCAUUGGUUUCCUGCAGAAAUCGGGAAAUAUUCUGGGGGGAAAAUGAAGGAUUCUGCAGUUUUGUGGUGUGGAGGUGGUCCUAAAUCCAAAUUGUUUUAAUUGUUUUAAUUGGUUUCAUUGGUUUAAUUUCCUUCCCUCAGCUCCUGCAGAAAUGACUAAAUAUCUGGAUUUGGGCUGAUUUUUGGGGGAAAAUGAAAGAUUCCACAGUUUUGUGGUAUUGAGGUGGUCCUAAAUUCAAAUUAUUUUCAUUGGAUCCAUUGCUUUCCUGCAGAAGUCAGGAAAUAUUCUGGGGGGAAAAUGAAGGAUUCUGCAGUUUUGUGGUGUGGAGGUGGUCCUAAAUUCAAAUUGUUUUAAUUGUUUUAAUUGUUUUAAUUGGUUUCAUUGGUUUAAUUUCCUUCCCUCAGCUCCUGCAGAAAUAACUAAAUAUCUGGAUUUGGGCUGAUUUUGGGGGGAAAAUGAAAGAUUCCACAGUUUUGUGGUGUGGAGGUGGUCCUAAAUUCAAAUUAUUUUAAUUGUUUUAAUUUGUUUGAUUCCUUCCCUCGGCUCGUGCAGAAAUGAUUGAAUAUUUGGAUUUGGGCUGAUUUUGGGGGGAAAAAUUAAGGAUUGCACAGUUUUGUGGUGUGGAGGUGAUCCAAAAUUCUUAAUUGGUUUCAAUAGUUUAAUUUCCUUCCCUCAGAUCUUGCAGAAAUGAUAGAAUAUCUGGAUUUGGGCUGAUUUUGGGGGGGAAAAUGAAGGAUUCCACAGUUUUGUGGUGUGGAGGUGGUCCUAAAUUCAGAUUGUUUUAAUUAUUUUAAUUCAUUUCAUUGGUUUAAUUCCUUCCCUCAGAUCCUGCAGAAGUCAGGAAAUAUUCUGGGGGAAAAUGAAGGAUUCAUCAAUUUUUGUGGUGUUGAGCUGGUCCUAAAUUCAAAUUAUUUAAAUUAUGAAAUGAGAAAGCAUUAAGAUCAAGAUUUAAUUGAGAUUUAAAGAUUAAGGA